rnacentral:rRNA from 1 species
GACGUAGGGUGCGAGCGUUGUCCGGAUUUAUUGGGCGUAAAGAGCUCGUAGGCGGCUUGUCGCGUCGACCGUGAAAACUUGGGGCUCAACCCCAAGCCUGCGGUCGAUACGGGCAGGCUAGAGUUCGGUAGGGGAGACUGGAAUUCCUGGUGUAGCGGUGAAAUGCGCAGAUAUCAGGAGGAACACCGGUGGCGAAGGCGGCUCACUGGUCCAUUACUGACGCUGAGGUGCGAAAGCGUGGGGAGCAAACAGG